rnacentral:rRNA from 1 species
CGGACGGGUGAGUAACGCGUGAGUAACCUGCCUUACACAAGGGGAUAGCCGUUGGAAACGACGAAUAAUACCCUAUGACAUAAACUCUUCGCAUGAAGAACUUAUCAAAGAUUUAUCGGUGUAAGAUGGACUCGCGUCUGAUUAGCUAGUUGGUGAGGUAACGGCCCACCAAGGCGACGAUCAGUAGCCGGCCUGAGAGAGUGUACGGCCACAUUGGGACUGAGACACGGCCCAGACUCCUACGGGAGGCAGCAGCU